AUGGCUCCAUCAAAAAGAAGUUCGAAAAAGUCACGCACAAAAAAUGUCAGGAGAGAGACGGAAAACUCAAAAACUCAGAAACAAUCAACACGGAAUCUUCCGAACAGAGCUUGCAAACUGAAAUCACUUCCAGCUACAACAAAGUCACAUUCGGAUUCAGCAGAUCAAACACUUGGAAUCGAAAGAUCAAGACGUGAAGAUUCUUCGUCAUCCGAAUUAUCCGAAUGUUACUCUGCACAGAAUUAUUUGAUUCAAAACGCGUACUACUCGGAAAAAUAUGCUCCAGCUAUCAUACACAAAUUGCUUCCUGCCUUUGAGGCAAACAAAAAUCCAAACAACGAUGAAAUUUUGGAAAUAAUGGCAGAUACAGGAUUAUCUCGAAAAGAAGUUCGUCGCUGGUUCCAAUGGCGUAAUGGCACAAACUUCAGAAUUGUUAGGCCAGUGACUGAGGAGCAGAAAAAACGGGCUGCUGAACGAGAAAGAAGCAGAGCUCAUUUGAAAGUGGACCUGGAACAGGUGAAUCCAAUACUAGAAGCUAUUCCUACAAGGAAUCGGAACUGUGUCGCGGGGGGAAUACUGCAACUAGACGUUCAGUCAUUUAAAGAGCCUGAACUAAUUGUAUAUGGUUGGUGGCCAUUUGGGACUGUGGAAAUGGAUGAUUUCGAAACGUACGAUUAUCCUUGGGAUGAUGAUGGAGAAGUUGAUAGGGAAUGGUAAAUAACAACGGACCCGAUCUGAAAAAGAAUUGUUGAAGAAACACCCAUUGUAUUGACAACAAAAAAGCAGCAUUUUAAAAUAAAGAUAACACAUUAACUAUUUAUCUGUCUGUUCCCCAUUUUCACUGACUCCACUCUUACAUCUACUUUAAGGGUCCUUUUUCCAUCCUUCUUUGCAGACCUAACAAAUCUAAAAAAACAAUCGUAUAAUAUCUGAAUUAAUUAACCUUUCACGACUUGUAAUUAACCCAUAUUAUUAUAUUUGCUUGGAAAAAUAGGAUUUUUUAAAAAAUGUUGACAGAUCCUUUCCAAUCAUCAAUUUCCCAUAUUCACCAUGUCAAAAACACGUUAAGUAUUUACGAGAACUCAAGCAUGCUCUGUAGAGAACUGUUUAAAUUUUCCUUAUUUUAUGUUUCCGGUUUGCCGACCUGUUUGAGAUUUCAAAGCUACAGUAUUUUCAAAACGAUGUUGCUUUAAUACUUAUGCUACAUUUAUUUCUCUAUUGGACCUGCACUCAAUAAUAUCAAUUGAGACAUACAUUUCCAGUCCUUAUCUAUUUGUCUUACUAAAAUGUGAACUUUUAUCAGUCUUGCUUUCAAGUUAUUUUAUUCCAUUUCAGUUGUAUUUUUUAAUAACUUUUAAUAUUUUUGAAAUGCGCUGUUAAUAUUUUUAAUUGAUACUUUCUAUUUAAUUUAAAUUGUUUAUUCCGUGUUUUUACGU